CAGCAUUUUUCCAAGGGCUGUGGCUGGUUGUGGCCAUGGGAUCUCCAACUGCAUACUGAGAAACCUGGAGUGACUGACAGUUCAGGUCAUUACAAUACCUGCAGCUGCCAUUUGUCUUUCCUAUAGUG
rnacentral:snoRNA from 1 species